AAUCAACGCUGGCGGCGUGCCUAACACAUGCAAGUCGAACGCGAAAGUCCCGCAAGGGAUGAGUAGAGUGGCAAACGGGUGAGUAACACGUGGGUGACCUGCCCUCAGCUCUGGGAUAAGCCUGGGAAACCGGGUCUAAUACCGGAUAUGACUCCAUGACGCAUGUUGUGGGGUGGAAAGCCUUGUGCGGCUGAGGAUGGGCCCGCGGCCUAUCAGCUUGNGGUGGGGUGAUGGCCUACCAAGGCGACGACGGGUAGCCGGCCUGAGAGGGCGACCGGCCACACUGGGACUGAGACACGGCCCAGACUCCUACGGGAGGCAGCAGUGGGGAAUCUUGCGCAAUGGGCGAAAGCCUGACGCAGCGACGCCGCGUGAGGGAUGACGGCCUGG
rnacentral:rRNA from 1 species